UAUGACUGUGUACAGCAGCAGAGGGCAGUAUGUGUUCGCAUCUCUCAGCACAUGCGCUCAUCCUCAGGACGGGAAGCGACAGAUGUUGACUGCAAGGUUAGGAAACAUGACAUAUGGACAGACAGUCCCAAAUAUUUAAUACCAGCAGAUAUCUCGCCAGACUCCUCUGUCUCUGUAAGGAUCUACCAUAACACGCCAGGAAUGACAAAUGACUGAAAUCCUCAGAGUCAGAGAUCACCAGAGAGAGUCACAAGACAGCCUGCUUAAAAUAGACGUUAACGGUUCUAUUAACUCCUUUAGCACUGGCUUGACGUCUUUGAUUAUGACAUUUGAGAACCAAUGACGCAUUGGACAGAGCAUCCCUCAGAAGAACAACAACCGCUCAGUGGAAAUAAGCAGAGCUUCCCUCCGGGUCAGGAUUUCUCCAAACCUUUCUAAGCCUUCGCUGCACCAACAGAUGGACGGCGUUAAUUGCAUUUUUUCAUUUUUUUUUUUAUGCCGGAUUAUAAUGAUCAUAUUAUAAUUGUUUUUGUUUCUCAGAAGAUGGUGCUGUACACAUUUGCUUUUGUAUUUCAAGUUUUUGUAUUUAGUUCACACCAAAUUAAAAUGCCCCCAAAUGAGCGAAUGAGUAAAUGAUGACUGAAUUGACCAAACUAUUUCUUAUAACUAUAUUCUUUAUGCAUGCGUAAAAUAUUUUAUGCAUAUCUCCAAAAAAUGUUGCAUGGGACGAUAUAAUAAUAUACAUUAUUUUGUGGGAUUUUUUAUGAGGUUAGGUCACAAAUGUGCUUUAGAUGUCAUGCAUUUGAGAGCUUCUAAGAGCCU